GGAGCGUUGGUCAAGGGGUUAAGACGCAUCCCUUUCACGGAUGAAUCACGGGUUCGAUUCCCGUACGCUCUACAA
rnacentral:tRNA from 2 species